AUGUAGGGCAAUCUGUCUUUAAGUAGGGAUAAAUUACUUAAAACAAAAAGAAUCCUAGAUAGUUUUCCCUUCAAGUCAAGCGUCUCGU
rnacentral:pre_miRNA from 1 species